rnacentral:pre_miRNA from 1 species
UUAGUACUCCCUCCGUCCGAAAAUACUUGUCCUAGAGAUGAAUGUAUCUAGACUUAUUUUAGUUAUAGAUACAUCCAUUAUAUCCAUUUCCAGGACAAGUAUUUCCGGACGGAGGAAGUACUUC